AAUCCAUGAUGAGGACACCUACAAAGAAAUUCCUUGAAUCUUUCCAUGCUUCGUAUAAGGACUCAUCAUCCAAUUGUUGGGAAAUGGUUAUCUCAUUUUGCAACU
rfam:Gossypium raimondii Chr08_contig_382, whole genome shotgun sequence.